rnacentral:rRNA from 1 species
AAUGAACGCUGGCGGCGUGCCUAAUACAUGCAAGUCGAGCGAAUGGAUUAAGAGCUUGCUCUUAUGAAGUUAGCGGCGGACGGGUGAGUAACACGUGGGUAACCUGCCCAUAAGACUGGGAUAACUCCGGGAAACCGGGGCUAAUACCGGAUAACAUUUUGAACCGCAUGGUUCGAAAUUGAAAGGCGGCUUCGGCUGUCACUUAUGGAUGGACCCGCGUCGCAUUAGCUAGUUGGUGAGGUAACGGCUCACCAAGGCAACGAUGCGUAGCCGACCUGAGAGGGUGAUCGGCCACACGGGGACUGAGACACGGCCCAGACUCCUACGGGAGGCAGCAGGAGGGAAUCUUCCGCAAUGGACGAAAGUCUGACGGAGCAACGCCGCGUGAGUGAUGAAGGCUUUCGGGUCGUAAAACUCUGUUGUUAGGGAAGAACAAGUGCUAGUUGAAUAAGCUGGCACCUUGACGGUACCUAACCAGAAAGCCACGGCUAACUACGUGCCAGCAGCCGCAGUAA